GACGAACGCUGGCGGCGUGCUUAACACAUGCAAGUCGAACGAUGAAGCCGGAGCUUGCUCUGGUGAAUUAGUGGCGAACGGGUGAGUAACACGUGAGUAACCUGCCCUUGACUCUGGGAUAACUGCUAGAAAUGGUAGCUAAUACCGGAUACGACCCUCGGAGGCAUCUCCAGGGGGUGGAAAGAAUUUCGGUCAAGGAUGGACUCGCGGCCUAUCAGCUAGUUGGUGGGGUAACGGCUCACCAAGGCGACGCCGGGUAGCCGGCCUGAGAGGGUGACCGGCCACACUGGGACGGAGGCACGGCCCAGACUCGUACGGGAGGCAGCAGUGGGGGAUAUUGCACAAUGGGCGCAAGCCUGAUGCAGCAACGCCGCGUGAGGGAUGACGGCCUUCGGGUUGUAAACCUCUUUUAGUAGGGAAGAAGCGAAAGUGACGGUACCUGCAGAAAAAGCACCGGCUAACCACGUGCCAGCAGCCGCCGUAA
rnacentral:rRNA from 1 species